GGCUUAGUAGUAUAGCUUGGUUAUUACACCCGAGUAAAUGCUCUAGGGGAUUGUAGGUUCGAAUCCUACCUACGCCU